GUAGGAUGAAAGGAAAGGCUGUUUUCCAAGUCUAACUCUAACUCAUGUAAAUAAAGUUGAGCCCAUGUUUGAAUAGUUGUAUACUACUAGCCCAACCCAUAAAUACCUAGCAACUUUGUAUAGAUACGGAACUCACUCUAGGACUUUGGGACUCGCUUUAUAACAUCCAUUUCAUCGAGUCUCACAGUGGAUUGGAUUUAAGAGAUUCAUAAAUAAUAUUCAUCAAAAUACCUCAGGCCUUCAGAUAAUCCGGGCUGUUAAUUCUUGACCGUCCUAAUCACAAUCGUCUCGUGGCCAAAUCUCUAGAGGGUAUAGCUUAUAACCAUGGCUGGAGGAGGAGCAGGUCUUCUUUGGGCAAUCGUCUGGUUCAUCAUUCUCAUCUUCUUCGGUUGGCCCAUCGGUUUCUUCGUAGCCUGGUUGUGGGUGUGCAUCAUGCCGUUUGCAGUGUGUAUAAGCUUCUGCAAAGACAUCAUGGAACUCUUGCAAAAACUGGUAAUGCUUCCGCAAACCUGCGCGGAGGGGAUGGUCGGCCAGAAACCUGUAUGCGGUUGAAACUAUAUCAUCAUCCGAGAUGCGCUCAAGAAAGUCAUAUAAUAUGCAGAGACUUAUGGGAAUUCAACAUCGUCCAGGCUUUCAUCCUAGUUGCUGCCUUUUAUUUUGCCUUCGAGAUUCCUUCGGCAAAUUACUCCAAUGAUAUGUUUGUUUUGAUUUUGAUUUUUUUACAAUUGUAGUCAUUUUGAUUAUAUUGAUUGAUUGUAAUGAAUGAUAAUUCAUGAAAAUGCCGAUUUAAUUGGAGUAUACUUAGUCUAUAGUGAGUAGUUUAAAGUCCCUAUUUUCCUCACACAUUCCCUAUUGAAGAAAUGGCGCUGGCUAUAUCAUAGGUAUAGUGU